UACGGGGGGGGGCAAGCGUUUGUUCGGAAUUACUGGGCGUAAAGAGCUCGUAGGUGGUUUGUCGCGUUGUUCGUGAAAACUCACAGCUCAACUGUGGGCGUGCGGGCGAUACGGGCAGACUAGAGUACUGCAGGGGGAGACUGGAAUUCCUGGUGUAGCGGUGGAAUGCGCAGAUAUCAGGGAGGGAACACCCGGUUGGGCGAAGGCGGGGUCUCUGG
rnacentral:rRNA from 1 species